rnacentral:rRNA from 1 species
AUUGAACGCUGGCGGCAGGCCUAACACAUGCAAGUCGAGCGAGAGGCGGACGGGUGAGUAAUGUCUGGGAAACUGCCUGGUGGCUGGGGAUAACUACUGGAAACGGUAGCUACUACCGCAUACCAUCAGAUGUGCCCAGAUGGGUUUCGCUAGUAGGUGGGGUAAUGGCUCACCUAGGCGACGAUCCGUAGCUGGUCUGAGAGGAGGACCAGCCACACUGGAACUGAGACACGGUCCAGACUCCUACGGGAGGCAGCAGUGGGGAAUAUUGCACAAUGGGCGAAAGCCUGAUGCAGCCAUGCCGCGUGUGUGAAGAAGGCCUUCGGGUUGUAAAGCACUUUCAGCGAGGAGGCGUUACUCGCAGAAGAAGCACCGGCUAACUCCGUGCCAGCAGCCGCGGUAAUUC